rnacentral:rRNA from 1 species
UACGUAGGGGGCAAGCGUUAUCCGGAUUUACUGGGUGUGAAGGGAGCGUAGACGGCCAGACAAGUCUGAAGUGAAAAUCCAGCGCUUAACGUUGGAAGUGCUUUGGAAACUGCCGGGCUAGAGUGCAGGAGGGGCAGGCGGAAUUCCUAGUGUAGCGGUGAAAUGCGUAGAUAUUAGGAGGAACACCAGUGGCGAAGGCGGCCUGCUGGACUGCAACUGACGUUGAGGCUCGAAGGCGUGGGGAGCAAACAGG